CCUACGGGGUGCUGCAGUGGGGAAUAUUGGACAAUGGGUGAAAGCCUGAUCCAGCCAUGCCGCGUGUGUGAAGAAGGCCUUCGGGUUGUAAAGCACUUUCAGUGGGGAAGAAAGCCUUGGGGCUAAUACCCUCGAGGAAGGACAUCACCCACAGAAGAAGCACCGGCUAACUCCGUGCCAGCAGCCGCGGUAAUACGGAGGGUGCGAGCGUUAAUCGGAAUUACUGGGCGUAAAGCGCGCGUAGGCGGUCUGAUAAGCCGGUUGUGAAAGCCCCGGGCUCAACCUGGGAACGGCAUCCGGAACUGUCAGGCUAGAGUGCAGGAGAGGAAGGUAGAAUUCCCGGUGUAGCGGUGAAAUGCGUAGAGAUCGGGAGGAAUACCAGUGGCGAAGGCGGCCUUCUGGACUGACACUGACGCUGAGGUGCGAAAGCGUGGGUAGCAAACAGGAUUAGAUACCCAGUAGUC
rnacentral:rRNA from 1 species